UACGUAGGGGGCGAGCGUUGUCCGGAUUUAUUGGGCGUAAAGAGCGUGUAGGCGGUUCGGUAAGUCUGUCGUGAAAUCCUGAGGCUCAACUCCGGAUCUGCGGUGGGUACGGGCAGACUAGAGUGAUGUAGGGGAGACUGGAAUUCCUGGUGUAGCGGUGAAAUGCGCAGAUAUCAGGAGGAACACCGAUGGCGAAGGCAGGUCUCUGGGCAUUAACUGACGCUGAGACGCGAAAGCUAGGGGAGCGAACAGG
rnacentral:rRNA from 1 species